CCUCUUCUUUCUUCACCCCUUUGCGCCUAUAUUCAGCCUGCCGGGGCAACCCGGCUAUGGCGAUAAACGAACGUCGUAAUAAACCUUUCGGACCCGGGGGCAGUACCCGGCGCCUCCACCCAAGCCCUCCCUAGGGAGGGUUUCGGCGGGGGCGAAAUAGGAUCGACGAGGGCGUAAAGGACGGACUUUUGCUCGGCAUGGUUCCGCCGUUAUCGGGCCAAAUCGUAGUUGCAAAUGACAACUAUGCUCCGGUUGCUCAGGCCGCUUAAGCGGUUUUAGUAACCACGCCUACAAGCCCUGGCCGUCUUAGCAGCGGUCAGGCGGGGUUCGGAGGCACCUGGCAACAGAAGCCUCCACU
rnacentral:tmRNA from 1 species